GCUCAUGUAACUCAAUUGGUAGAGUGAAAUACUGAAGAUAUUUUUGUUAUAAGUUCGAAUCUUAUCUUGGGCA
rfam:Magnaporthe poae ATCC 64411 mitochondrial scaffold supercont1.206, whole genome shotgun sequence.